GGGGUCAUAGGGUAAUGGCUAUCCCGCUAGGCUCCAGACUUAGCAAUCCGGGUUCGACUCCCGGUGACCCCA
rnacentral:tRNA from 1 species